rnacentral:lncRNA from 1 species
AAACGUCUAUGGGAUGGUCUGCUGAAGUUAGUUAUGCUAUAAAAAAAUUCUUUAAGAAGUUCUAGUUAAGUUGAAAUCUUAAUCAUCAUACCAGCAGAUUGUAUCUACCAUUUAUAGUUAGAAUGAAACCAUUAAGGUGCAACUUGCAUAGUUAAGAAUAUUCUAAGAAAGGUUGUUCAAGAUAUUCAUAUACAAGGAGAAAUUACAGAAACUACAUAUGAUUUUGUAGCUCCUACUUACAAAUUUAAGCUUCUGACUGUUCAAGUAUUCAAAGCUUCUUAUUACAAUAC